GAGCGGUAACAGGUGUAGCAAUACAUGCUGACGAGCGGCGAACGGGUGAGUAAUGCUUCGGAAUCUGCCCAAUGGUGGGGAAUAACCAGCCGAAAGGUUGGCUAAUACCGCAUGAGCCCUACGGGGGAAAGCAGGGGAUCGUAAGACCUUGCGCCGAUGGAUGAGCCGAAGUCGGAUUAGCUAGUUGGUAGGGUAACGGCCUACCAAGGCGACGAUCCGUAGCUGGUCUGAGAGGACGACCAGCCACACUGGGACUGAGACACGGCCCAGACUCCUACGGGAGGCAGCAGUGGGGAAUAUUGGGCAAUGGGGGCAACCCUGAUCCAGCGACGCCGCGUGUGUGAAGAAGGCCUGCGGGUUGUAAAGCACUUUGAGUGGGGAUGAAAAGCUCAGGGCUAAUACCUCUGGGUCUUGACCUAACCCACAGAAAAAGCACCGGUUAACUCUGUGCCAGCUGUCCGCGGUAAUACAGCAGGGUGCGAGCGUUAAUCGGAAUUACUGGGCGUAAAGCGUACGUAGACGGUCAGUAUAAGAUCGGGUGUGAAAGCCCUCGGGUCUCAACCUGCGAAUUGCAAUUCGAUACUGUCUGGCUAGGGUGCGGAAGAGGGAAGCCGAAUUCCCCGCUGCACCGCUGAAAUGCCUAGAUAUCGGCAGGAAUACCCAGUGUCGCAUAG
rnacentral:rRNA from 1 species